rnacentral:rRNA from 1 species
GACGUAGGGCGCGAGCGUUGUCCGGAUUUAUUGGGCGUAAAGAGCUCGUAGGCGGCUUGUCGCGUCGACUGUGAAAACCCGCGGCUCAACCGCGGGCCUGCAGCCGAUACGGGCAGGCUAGAGUUCGGUAGGGGAGACUGGAAUUCCUGGUGUAGCGGUGAAAUGCGCAGAUAUCAGGAAGAACACCCGUGGCUAAGGCGGUUCUCUAGUACGGUACUGACGCUGAGACGCGAAAGCGUGGGGAGCGAACAGG